CCUACGGGUGGCAGCAGUGGGGAAUAUUGCACAAUGGAGGAAACCCUGAUGCAGCAACGCCGCGUGAGCGAUGAAGGCCUUCGGGUCGUAAAGCUCUGUCCUAAGGGAAGAAUACUGACGGUACCUUAGGAGGAAGCCCCGGCUAACUACGUGCCAACAGCCGCGGUAAUACGUAGGGGGCUAGCGUUAUCCGGAAUUACUGGGCGUAAAGGGUGCGUAGGCGGCCCUUCAAGUCAGAGGUGAAAGGCUACGGCUCAACCGUAGUAAGCCUUUGAAAAUGUAGGGCUUGAGUGCAGGAGAGUGGAGUUGAAUUCCCAGUGUAGCCGGGAAAAGCGUAUGUAUUGGGAGGAAAACAAGUUGCCAAGGCGGCUCUCUGGACUGUAACUGACGCGUAGGCACGAAAGCUUGGGGAAGGAACAGGAUUAGAUACCCUAGUAGUC
rnacentral:rRNA from 1 species